AGCGAACGCUGGCGGCAGGCCUAACAUAUGCAAGUCGAACGAACUAUUCGGACUUAGUGGCGGACGGGUGAGUAACACGUGGGAAUGUACCUUUUCGUUCGGAGCAACGCAGGGAAAGUUGGGCUAAUACCGUAUGAGCCCUUAGGGGUAACGAUUUAUCGCCGAGAGAGCGGCCCGCGUUAGAUUAGCUAGUUGGUGAGGUAAAGGCUCACCAAGGCUACGAUCUAUAGCUGGUCUGAGAGGAUGAUCAGCCACACUGGGACUGAGACACGGCCCAGACUCCUGCGGGAGGCAGCAGUGGGGAAUCUUGCGCAAUGGGUGAAAGCCUGACGCAGCCAUGCCGCGUGAAUGAUGAAGGUCUUAGGAUUGUAAAAUUCUUUUGCCAGGGGCGAUAAUGACGGUACCUGGAGAAAAAGCCCCGGCUAACUUCGUGCCAGCCGCCGCUGUAAGAC
rnacentral:rRNA from 1 species